ensembl:misc_RNA 7SK 7SK RNA
GGAUGUGAAAGCACUCUGGCUGUGACACCUGUUACCCCACUGAUCACCAGGAUUGAUUCAGCUGAUCUGAAUGGUGAGGCAUUCACAGCACUGCAUGUACAGUCAUCCCUCCAAAGCUGUCUAUGCACACCCCAGAUGGCGAAGGGCUGCUUCCUCUGUCAAGGAUACAUGAACAGCUGUGUUCCCCUGCUACAACCUCCAAACAAGCUGUAAGUUUGCAUUAUUUCUUCACUAAAGAUUCAUUUUCCCAGCACUGUUUAUCAACAAAUACUUGUUU